AUUGAACGCUAGCGGGAUGCUUUACACAUGCAAGUCGAACGAGUGGCGGACGUGUGAGUAGUAUAACGGAACGUGCCCAGUAGAGGGGGCUAACUACUCGAAAGCGUGGAUACUACCGCCUACUCGUGGGGCACCCGAUAUCGGAUUAGCUAGUUGGUGGGGUAAAGGCUCACAAAGGCAACGAUCCGUAGCUGGUUUGAGCGGACGACCAGCCACACUGGGACUGAGACACGGCCCAGACUCCUACGGGAGUCAGCAGUGGGGAAUGUUGGACAAUGGGGGAAACCCUGAUCCAGCCAUCCCGCGUGUAUGAGAAGGCCUUCGGGUUGUAAAGUACUUUUGGCAGAGAAGCGGUAUCUGCAGAAUAAGCACCGGCGAACUACGUGCCAGCAGCCGCGGUAAUAC
rnacentral:rRNA from 1 species